GAUGAACGCUGGCGGCGUGCCUAAUACAUGCAAGUCGAGCGAACGGACGAGAAGCUUGCUUUUCUGAUGUUAGCGGCGGACGGGUGAGUAACACGUGGAUAACCUACCUAUAAGACUGGGAUAACUUCGGGAAACCGGAGCUAAUACCGGAUAAUAUUUUGAACCGCAUGGUUCAAAAGUGAAAGACGGUCUUGCUGUCACUUAUAGAUGGAUCCGCGCUGCAUUAGCUAGUUGGUAAGGUAACGGCUUACCAAGGCAACGAUGCAUAGCCGACCUGAGAGGGUGAUCGGCCACACUGGAACUGAGACACGGUCCAGACUCCUACGGGAGGCAGCAGUAGGGAAUCUUCCGCAAUGGGCGAAAGCCUGACGGAGCAACGCCGCGUGAGUGAUGAAGGUCUUCGGAUCGUAAAACUCUGUUAUUAGGGAAGAACAUAUGUGUAAGUAACUGUGCACAUCUUGGCGGUACCUAAUCAGAAAGCCACGGCUAACUACGUGCCAGCAGCCGCGGUAAUACGUAGGUGGCAAGCGUUAUCCGGAAUUAUUGGGCGUAAAGCGCGCGUAGGCGGUUUUUUAAGUCUGAUGUGAAAGCCCACGGCUCAACCGUGGAGGGUCAUUGGAAACUGGAAAACUUGAGUGCAGAAGAGGAAAGUGGAAUUCCAUGUGUAGCGGUGAAAUGCGCAGAGAUGUGGAGGAACACCAGUGGCGAAGGCGACUUUCUGGUCUGUAACUGACGCUGAUGUGCGAAAGCGUGGGGAUCGAACAGGAUUAGAUACCCUGGUAGUCCACGCCGUAAACGAUGAGUGCUAAGUGUUAGGGGGUUUCCGCCCCUUAGUGCUGCAGCUAACGCAUUAAGCACUCCGCCUGGGGAGUACGACCGCAAGGUUGAAACUCAAAGGAAUUGACGGGGGCCCGCACAAGCGGUGGAGCAUGUGGUUUAAUUCGAAGCAACGCGAAGAACCUUACCAAAUCUUGACAUCCUUUGACAACUCUAGAGAUAGAGCCUUCCCCUUCGGGGGACAAAGUGACAGGUGGUGCAUGGUUGUCGUCAGCUCGUGUCGUGAGAUGUUGGGUUAAGUCCCGCAACGAGCGCAACCCUUAAGCUUAGUUGCCAUCAUUAAGUUGGGCACUCUAAGUUGACUGCCGGUGACAAACCGGAGGAAGGUGGGGAUGACGUCAAAUCAUCAUGCCCCUUAUGAUUUGGGCUACACACGUGCUACAAUGGACAAUACAAAGGGCAGCGAAACCGCGAGGUCAAGCAAAUCCCAUAAAGUUGUUCUCAGUUCGGAUUGUAGUCUGCAACUCGACUACAUGAAGCUGGAAUCGCUAGUAAUCGUAGAUCAGCAUGCUACGGUGAAUACGUUCCCGGGUCU
rnacentral:rRNA from 1 species